UAUAGUCGGUGUCUCUAUACAGUUUGAUC
rnacentral:sRNA from 1 species